UUCUGAGACUGUAGGAGUUGACUUGAGAGCUCACUCAGCAGCACCACUACACUCAGAAAGUAACUGCUGAGAGUCCUCCUAGAGCUGAUCUGUGAACCCAGUCACUCAUCUAGUCUGUCUGCCUUUCCUGAGGACACAUCUUCCUUCUUCAGUACUCUGCUUUGUGCAUAUCCUGCUGUCCUUCUGCCCAGAGCUGGAAAUCCCACACAUCUUCCAGGAAUUGGCUGAGUUCACCAAGCUGGCCUGUUCUGAUAC
rnacentral:lncRNA from 1 species